UUCUCUAAUUCUUGAUCAAUAAUGAGCAAAGUAUUUUCAGUAUAAUUUUCAUGGGGUUUCUUCUUCUCAUCAUCCCCCUCAAGUUGGAGGGGAGGGAAAGAAUCCCCAACUUGUUCAAAAUGCUGGUGUGAGAAACCCCAUAAAGGAGUUUGGUGAAUAGAUCGGCGAGUUGCUGCUCUGAUGGAACGAAGGACAGAGUGAUUAAGCCGGAUAGAAAUUGUUGCCUAACAAAAUAUUAAUUGAGUUCUACGUGCUUGGUACGCUCAUGGAAAACGGGGUUACAAGCGAUGUGAAUAGCCGCCUGACUGUCGGAGUGAAUAAGAGCCGGCAAAGUCGGAGUGACGGGUAGAUCAGAUAGUAGACGCACAUACCAAGUUACUUAACCACUGACACGCCUCAUCGACGGAUACUCGGCUUCAUCAGAGGAAAGGUAAAUUGAAACGUGCUUCUUUGAUUUCCAUGAAAUUGCUGCUCCACCAAGGGUGAUGAAGAAACCACUAACAGACCGGUGAGAAUCUCUACAAGCCGCCCAGUCUGCAUCACAAAAGGUGAGUAGAUCAAAAGAGGGAUCUGCAGUGAGAAAAAUCCCUUACGAAGGAUCAGUGCGCAAAUAGCAGACAACACGCAAGCUGCAUAAUAAUGAGAAAACAAAGGCGUUGCAUAUACUGGCUCGAACAAAUAACAGCAAAGCAGAGGUCUGGCCUAUUAUUUGUUAAGUAGCUGAGAUUUCCAUCAAGGUGGCGAUAAACGGUAGGAUCAAGCAUAAGCUCUACCAUAUCAGCUUGCAAUUUAGAGUAAGGAUCGAGAGGUGAAGAUACAGCAAGACCUGUGCAAUCAAAUUCAGUCAAGAGUUCCAAGGUAAAUUGCCUUUGCCCUAUUAUAAAACCUAGCUUUCUCUGAAAAUUUCCAUACCCAAGAAAUGGUGAAUGUGAUCAAUAUUUUUUACUUUGAAUUCUGAGUAUAGAAAAGCUAUAAUUUGUGCAAUUUCUAUGGUGUCAUUACCUGUGAGCAUUAUAUCGUCCACAUAUACAGCUAAUAUGGAAAUUAAAUCACUUUAUUGCUUGUAAAAUAAUGAAUAGUCAUUUAGAGAGCUGGAGUAACCUUUGUAGUUAAGAGCCCCAGCUAACCUAGCAUACCAUUUCCUAGACACUUGCUUCAACACAUAGAGUGACUUCCUUAGUCGACAGACAAGAUUACGUUGAGAAGGAGUCAAACCUGCUGGGAAUUUCAUAUAGACCUCUUCUUGCAAAUCCCCAUGCAAGAAGGCAUUAUUAACAUCAAUUUGUGACACAUUCCAACCCUUCUUGAUAGCCACAACCAAAAGACACCUGAUGGUAGUCAUCUUUACCACAGGUGAAAAAGUUUCUGAAAAAUCUAUCCCUUCUCUCUGAAUGUCCCCCCUCACCACCAACCUAUCCUUUAGCCUUUCCAUUGUACCAUCUGAGUUAUGCUUCACCUUGUACACCCAUUUACAAGGUAAAGCUUUCUUCCCUAGUGGUAAGGGUACAAUUUCCCAAGUGUUAUUUAUCUCAAGUGCUGAAAUUUCAGCAUCCAUAGCCUUUUUCCACCCAGGAUGGAUAGAAGCUUGUAAAUAACCGCUAGGUUCUAAUGUGGUAGAAAUAGAUUGAAGUAGAUGUUGCUAGUCUAUAGAUAGAGCACUGAAUGAAAAGGCAUUUGGCUUGAGAGGUUUGGAUAGACGGGAACUACGGUCAGAUAGGUAGAUGUUAUUGCAAAUGUAAUCAUUUAAGUAGGCUAGUUUUUAAGUUACCAUGUCAAAUUUUCUGACUGGUGGAGGUGGAAUUGGAAUAGGUGUGCUGAUUGAUAAAGGAGAAAAUGAUUUGGACAGGAUGGAUGAGUAAGAAGGACAUAGAGUAGGAUCAGCGUCUGAAGGUGUUAGGUUGAUGUUGGUUGAAGUAUAAGGACCAGGACAUGUAGAAGAACUGCUUUGUGGGGAGAGGGUAGAUAGAGGUGAAGGUGAUGGUAGAGGUGCCCUAGGAGAGUAUUCUAUUGGGUUAUGGGGCAAGGUAUCUGUUGGAAUUGUAUCUUUAGGGAAGAAAGAAAAUCAGAUGUGAGAGGUGAGUGGGAAAAUGGGAAUUGAUCUUCAUAAUACCCAACAUCUCUAGUGACAAACACCUUUUUAGUGACAAUAUCCAGGACCUUGUAACUUUUCUGAUGCUGGGCAUAUCCUAGGAACACACAACCCUUUGCCCUAGGUUCAAACUUCCCUCUGUUGUGAGACAAAGUUGAGACAUAGCACAAACAACCAAAACUUUUGAGUGAAUCAUAGCUACGUUAUGUACCAAGCAGUACCUCAUAGGGUGUUAAUCCAUUUAGAACCUUAGAAGGGAUUCUGUUGAUCAGAUAUGUAGCUGUUAGCACACAUUCUCCCCAGUAUUGGAGAGGCACCUUACAGUGAAAAAAGAGUGCCCUAGCUACUUCCAAACGACGCUUAUGCAAUACGUGGGCCCGAGGGGAAUUUUGGUUAUUUUACAUAAUUUCGCGUAUUAGCUUAGACUUUAAUUGUAGAAUCAGUUACUUGAAAUGUUAUUUAUAUUAUGAAAUUGAAUUGAAUGAAUUUGGGCCAUUUGAAGUCGAGUACUCAUGGCAAAGACGUGGUGACGGGUUAAUUUUGAGCUAGUUCGAGGUAAAUGUCUUGCCUAACCUUGUGUGGGAGACUUUUCCCUUGGGAUGUGACAUAUUUGAUAAUUGAAAUGCCUUGUAUGUGAGCCGACGAGUGCACACUUGAGCUAAUUGUUGAAAAUUGGAUUUUACUUUUUGUAUUUUAGUUGAGUUCUGUUUUACUGCUUUGUUCUUGUUGGCCCAAGUUUCAGUUGAGUUUUGAAGAUUGACAAAUGAACUGAUAGAAGGACCUGGUNNNNNNNNUAUUAAGCACAGAGUUUGUCAUCAUCAAAAAGGGGAAAAUUGUUGGCCCAAGUUUCAGUUGAAGUUUUGAAGAUUGACAAAUGAACUGUUAGAAGGACCUGGUCCUUCUUGUACUACACAGUAUGAAUCAACGAGAGCACAUGCAGAGCGCGUGAGAAAGAUAAUGCACCAAAGAUUACGCAUCAAUAUCUUCUGAUCAUAAUCGAAAAGAUUGCAUUGGGAUAAGGAGCACAGUCUUCUUAUGUGAAGAGAACUUAAUCCUAAGUUAGGAUAAGGGUUGGAGUUUGCAUUGGCCANNNNNNNNNNNNNNNNNNNNNNNNNNNNNNNNNNNNNNNNNNNNNNNNNNNNNNNNNNNNNNNNNNNNNNNNNNNNNNNNNNNNNNNNNNNNNNNNNNNNNNNNNNNNNNNNNNNNNUAAGGGUUGGAGUUUGCAUUGGCCAAGGACUCGAAUUGUGAACGGAUAAGAAGUGGAGUCUUAAUCAAACUCUAACUGCUAACUCAAUAUAUGAUUGAAUUAGUUCUCUUUUCAGGUAACAUACACAAGCAGAAGUAAAAGCAUAUUUGAGAGCAAAAAGAGUGAGUCUGAUUUGCAAGCAAUAUAUGCAAGUUACAAGUGUGGACGCCUACAGCUGCAUGAACCUAGAGAAGAACCAGUUCCAUCUGAUUGUUUUAUUUCUAGUUCAAUUGUAGUAGGUUUUAUAUUGUACCUCUCAGCUUAGUUAGAAUCAAUUGUAUCAGGUACGUUGUGUCAUGAAGUUAGAGAUAACUUGAUAGUGUCGCAGCAGCUGAGGUUGUGUGCCACACUAGGAUUAGAGUUUAAUCCUUAGGUUUACAAAGAGACUUUGUAAAUACUGUUUGGCUUAUUAAUUUUUAGUGGAGUUUGGGAAAAUUCUACUGAGUAGUAGGUCGUGGUUUUUUUACCUUUUUGUUUUUGGCUCAUUGAUGUUAGUGGAGUUUGGGAAAAUCCUACUGAGUAGUAGAUCCUUGUUUUUUCACCUUUUGAGCCAGGUGUUUUCCACGUAAAAAUAGCUGUGUACUUUACUUUCAGUUUUUAUAUUCUCGCAAACUACAGUAGUUAAAACACUUAGAAGAACCAGGUUCUUCUAACGUGAAAAUUAAGUACCACACAAAUUACCCCCCACCCCUCUUGUGUGGUGUUGAAGUUUAUUCACAUCAAUUGGUAUCAGAGCGAGUUAUCCUUGAAGAGGUUAACACCUUAGGAAAAAGAUCAACAAGAGUUCACCACCUGGAAACUGGGAAGGACAGUCUCCUACAAGGCCUCCACUCUUCAAUGGGCUCUACUACUCUUGGUGGAAAAUAGAAUGAGAGACCAUAUCAUGGGUGGAGAUUAUGAACUCUGGGACAUCAUCACUGAUGGCCCUCUUGCUACAACCAAGAAGAAUGAUGAAGGAAUGGAUGUUCCAAAAACUAGAGCAGAUUGUACUGCUGAUGAUCUAAGGAAGUGGGAGAAAAAAUACUAAAGCCAAGAAAUGGCUAGGCAUGGACUUGGCCCUGAUGAAUACAACAGGAUUCAGGGAUGUACAACUACAAAGAAAAUUUGGGACACUUUACAAGUGGCUCAUGAAAGAACACCUCAAGUGAAAAGGUCCAGAGGAACUCUAUUAUUUUCUCAAUAUGAGAAUUUUACUAUGAAGGAUGGUGAAACUAUCCAAGAGAUGUAUACUAGGUUCACUACACUGACAAAUGAACUUGAGUCUCUUGGAAGGGUUAUUUUGGAGGAAGACAAGGCAGAAAAGAUUUUAACUAGAGUUUUGCCAAUCUCCUGGGAAAGCAACAUCACUGCCAUUCAAGAAUCCAAAAAUAUUGCUACUCUAAAAUUGGAUGAAAUGACUGGAAGUUUGACUGCUUAUGAGUUGAGAAGGCAAACUAUGAAGAUGGAUGCUCCAAAGAAAGAGAGAAGUAUGGCUCUCAGGAUCUCAGAAGGAUCAGGUCUUGAAGAUGAUGAAAUGGAAAUGAUAACUAGAGACUUCAAGAAAUACCUUAUGUGAGGCAAGGGCUCUCUAGAGGACCAACAUUUAACAAACCUAGGGCUCCUGAGAAGCAGACAAAUGAUGGUUACUUCAAAUGUGUAAAGACAGAUCACAUGAUCAAGAAAUGCCCUCAAUGGGAGAUUGAGUGGAAGAAAGAAAGGGCAAAAAGAUGGAACAAGUUAAACCAAGGAGAAACAAAGGUACUACCAAAGCCAUAGUUGCUACAUGGGGAGAUACAUCAGAUGAAGACUCAUAAAAUGAAGUUGAAGAUGAGCAAGCUCUUAUGGACAUCAGAGAAUCAGAAGAUGAACAGGAGGUAAGUGUUUUACAUCUUAAAGAAAAGAUUAAAUUCCUGUCUAAAUAAAAAUUGGUUGAACAUUUGAUGGACUUCAUAGAUGAGUCUGAAAUAAUAAAUAGUGAGAAAGAUGUUCUGUCUAGGGAUUGUGCAAUACUAGAAGAAAAAUACAAAAGACUAGAAUCUAGGGCUGAAGAGAGCAAUAACCUAAAUGCUGAGUUCAAGAACCAGGUUCUUCAAUUGGAAAACAGUGUCCUAUGACUCAAGUAUGGAAAUUUGAAACUUAAAAUAGGGACAGGAAAGAAAAAGGCUUAUCAAUCAUUUCUCACACUAGAACAAAAUUUAGGAAAAUGAAGGAUGAGCUGUAUGAGAAAGAUGAAUCAAUCAAGGUCCUCAAAGAAGAAUUAGGAAAGGUGAAUCAUGAAUUAGACAGAACAUGCAAAUGGAACAAGGCUCCCGAUGCACUCUCUUGGCUGCAAGAAUAUCACAGCAGCAACAAGAGAGGACUUGCCUUUGGGACUCAAGCACCAGAAUGGGAUCCCAAAAUCAAGUAUCUCACUCUUCUUGAGAACAAAAUCUGUACACAUUGUGGUAAGACUGGACAUUACAAAAAUGAAUGUAAUGCAAAAUAAAAGGCCAGUCAAAGGAACAAAUGUUUUGUUCAAGAAAAACACAAACUGCCUGGAUGAGCAAAGAAAAAUCUAAUUCAUCCUUUUGCCAAUAGAAAGGGACCCAAACUAGUUUGGGUUCCUAAGACUAACCCCUGAUUUUAUUUUGAAAGUCCAAGUGAAAGGAAACAUCCAAAUUUGGUACAUGGAUAGUGGCUGCUCAAAACAUAUGACUGGUAACAAGGACCAGUUUCUUUUACUUGAGAACCUAAGAGUAGGCAAUGUCUCCUUUGGAAAUGGAAAGAAAGGUGAGAUCAUUGGGGUUGGAAAGGUAGGAAAGACAGACUCUCAUUCAAUUGAAAAUGUCUACUUGGUAGAUGGCUUGAAAUAUAGCCUGAUAAGUGUGUCACAACUGUGUGAUAGAGGUAAUCUAGUGGUUUUCACUUCCUUAAAAUAAUUUGUGAUUAACCUUACUACAUACAAGAUUGUUUUGCAGGGAAGAAGAGUUAACAAUAUUUACAUUGUAAAUUUGUCAACACUUUCUGAAAAUGAACUCACUUGUCUGAGGGUGUUAAUAAAUGAUCCCCUCCUUUGGCAUAAACGACUUGGUCAUGCUAGUCUAAAUAAAUUAAACAAAUUAGUCUCCAAGGACUUGGUGAUAGGGAUACCUAAUAUCAAGUUCAAGGAAACAAACGACUUGGUCAUGCUUGUCUAAAUCAAUUAAACAAAUUAGUCUCCAAGGGCUUGGUGGUAGGGCUACCUAAUAUCAAGUUCAAGGAAGACAAAGUUUUUGAGGCAUGUGCAAGGGGGAAGCAGGUAAGGUCAUCUUUCAAAUCUAAGAAAAUGGUAAGCUCGUCCAAGUCGUUGGAAGUGGUUCAUAUGGAUCUCUAUGGUCCAAUGAGAGCCAUGAGAAGAUGUGGCAAAAGAUAUGUUAUGGUGUUGGUUGAUGAUUUCUCUAGAUUUACCUUGGUGCUAUUUCUAACUUCUAAAGAUGAAGCAUUUGAAAUGUUCACAGCUUUUGUUAGAAAAAUCUAGAAACAAUUAGGAAAUCAACUUACAUCCAUUAGGUCUGACCAUGGAACUGAAUUUGAAAAUGCAAAGUUUCUGAAUUUUGUGAUGAAAAUGGAAUAGAUCAUAAUUUCUCUGCCCCUAGAACUCCUCAGCAAAAUAGGGUAGUUGAAAGGAAGAACAAGACCCUUGAGGAUAUGGCAAGGAAUAUGUUACUUUCCAGUAAAUUACCUCAUAGCUUUUGGGAAGAGGCAAUAAAUAUAGCAUGCUACAUAAUAAAUAGAUGUAUGACCAGACCACUGGUAGAGAAAACUCCAUAUGAGUUACAUAAAGGGAGAAAACCAAAUAUAUCCCACCUAAGGGUUUUUGGUUGCAAGUGCUAUGUGCACAAUAAUGGCAAAUAUUCCUUUGGUAAGUUUGAUCCCAUAAGUGACGAGGGAGUAUUCUUGGGAUAUUCUUCACAUAGAAAGCUUAUAAAGUAUUUAAUAAAAGAACGCUAUGUGUAGAAGAAAGUGUACAUGUUAUUUUUGAUGAAACUAACACUCUUUCUGAGAGACAGGAACAUGAAGAUGAAAAGCCAUUGGACUGGUGAGACAACUGACUGAAGCUACAGUACAAGUCAAUGAGGCAUCCAAGGAAGAAACAGGUGAUGGAACAGGUCCUUUUACCCUGGGAAACCUGA
rnacentral:lncRNA from 1 species